rnacentral:misc_RNA from 1 species
AAGUCGUAACAAGGUUUCCGUAGGUGAACCUGCGGAAGGAUCAUUACAAAAUUAUACGUGUGUUGUGUCGUGUGCAGGCAGCCGCAAGGCUCCUGUUACUCGAGCACACCAAUUUACGCUUGUUGUGUUUGUCAGAGUUAUUGUGACUGAAAUUAUAGACAACUUUUAACAAUGGAUCUCUUGGCUCUU